rnacentral:lncRNA from 1 species
AACACAUUCUAUGGGUUGUCCUCUGGGGGCCCAUAAGGAAUUCACACCUGUGAUUAACUUAACUGGCCGUCCCAUUUCCCCGAAGCCCCGUACAGAUCCAGUUGAGAGAGCAGCUCUCUGGCAAAGAACAACUUGAGUGUUUUAGAUAGACAUCAAUGUAUUACAGAUUCGAGUAAUUCAGCAUAUCACAACAAACACUGUGAAUGGAGCUAGGCUAGACUUUCACCAACAUACACGAUGAAGAGUGGGUAUGCCCGUCUGGGUAAGUACACCCUAACACUUAUUAUUAUAUUUGUCCUGGACAUUUGUAAAA